rnacentral:lncRNA from 1 species
AAGUCAUGCUGCGCGUGGCCGCAGCCUGCAUCAACUGAUUUACAGUGCCUUCCAACUGUAAAAUUAAGAAUACAGGUCGUUUCUUUUCCUGGAAGACUUGGCUGAACUACACCCUGCUUCUAGUUAACGCCAUCGCUACAUCAUAAAUCUGAGUCUCUUUUCCCUGCUAAACGCUUAAGUACUGGAGAUCUCCAGGGAGCAUUAUCUCCAUGAGAAUGAGAAAAAUGACACUGCAUGAUGGAACAGUAGUGUUAAUGGGUCACUGAAUGACAGCUGAGCCUUCUCUCAGAGGUAUCAACCAGGCUAGCACUGCCAGAAACACAAGAGUUAUAAAGUGUACCAAUUUAAUCUUGUCACAUGUAACCUGGGCUGCAAAGACAGAGCUCUCCUUAAAAGCCCAGUGUGACAAGGCUAAACCUGACUCAUGCCAGAGGAAAGCCUGCAAAGAUGCUAAUUGUAAAAUA